UAACCUGCCUUGGAGUGGGGAAUAACACAUCGAAAGAUGUGCUAAUACCGCAUGAUGCAGUUGGGCCGGCAUGGCUCUGACUGCCAAAGAUUUAUCGCUCUGAGAUGGACUCGCGUCUGAUUAGCUGGUUGGCGGGGUAACGGCCCACCAAGGCGACGAUCAGUAGCCGGACUGAGAGGUUGACCGGCCACAUUGGGACUGAGACACGGCCCAGACUCCUACGGGAGGCAGCAG
rnacentral:rRNA from 1 species